rnacentral:tRNA from 1 species
CGGGAAAUAGCGCAGUAUGGUAGCGCGCUUGGUUCGGGACCAAGAGGUCGCGGGUUCGACUCCCGCUUUUCCGACCA